GUAACAUCAGGCUGUGGGCACUGAAGACAUUCAGCAUCCCACAGAACUGAGAACUAAGCCAUCACACUGAGAUCUAAAUAAUUUGAUGGGGAAAAAUAUUGCUCUGUCUCCUUUUGGAGGCUGUCUUCAAGGGCACAGCACUCAGUUUAUACAUAGAGUGAAACUCAUUCUUAGAAGAAUGGAAAAAUCACCUAUCAACCAGACCCCUACACAGGUUUACACCUCCAAAGUGUGGCUGUACCACUCAGAUUUCCAUAACUGCUGCUUCAGACUGAUAGGUACAACAUUAUCUGUUCUCUUCUUUUUCGGUAUGUUUCCUGGUUGUGAAAAAAAACACAUUAUUCUCUAAAUAACCAAAUACAUCCUCUAACUUUCAAGAAUAUCAGAAAGUCUGUGAGGAUCAAGAUGA